CCACAUCCAGGAAGGCAGCAGGCGCGCAAAUUACCCAAUCCCGACACGGGGAGGUAGUGACAAUAAAUAACAAUACAGGGUUCUUUUGGAUCUUGUAAUUGGAAUGAGUACAAUUUAAAUCUCUUAACGAGGAACAAUUGGAGGGCAGGUCUGGUGCCAGCAGCCGCGGUAAUUCCAGCUCCAAUAGCGUAUAUUAAAGUUGUUGCAGUUAAAAAGCUCGUAGUUGAAUUUCGGGAUCAAUAUUUCGGUCAUGCCGUUGGUAUGCACUGUUAUCAUUGAUUUCUCACCUUCUAAAGAACCGUGAUGCCAUUAAUUUGGUGUUACGGGGAAUUAGGACUGUUACCUUGAAAGAAUUAGAGUGUUUAAAGCAGGCUCACGCUUGAAUACAUUAGCAUGGAAUAAUGAAAUAGGACAUCCGAUUCUAUUUUGUUGGUUUCUAGGAUCGAUGUAAUGAUUAAUAGGGAUAGUUGGGGGCAUUAGUAUUCAAUUGUCAGAGGUGAAAUUCUUGGAUUUAUUGAAGACUAACUACUGCGAAAGCAUUUGCCAAGGAUGUUUUCAUUAAUCAAGAACGAGAGUUAGGGGAUCGAAGACGAUCAGAUACCGUCGU
rnacentral:rRNA from 1 species